UACGUAGGGUGCAAGCGUUGUCCGGAAUUAUUGGGCGUAAAGAGCUCGUAGGCGGCUUGUUGCGUCGACUGUGAAAACCCGCGGCUUAACCGCGGGCUUGCAGUUGAUACGGGCAGGCUAGAGUUCGGUAGGGGAGACUGGAAUUCCUGGUGUAGCGGUGAAAUGCGCAGAUAUCAGGAGGAACACCGGUGGCGAAGGCGGGUCUCUGGGCCGAUACUGACGCUGAGGAGCGAAAGCGUGGGGAGCGAACAGG
rnacentral:rRNA from 1 species